UAAGUAUAAGCAAUUAUACCGUGAAACUGCGAAUGGCUCAUUAAAUCAGUUAUCGUUUAUUUGAUAAUACCUUACUACUUGGAUAACCGUGGUAAUUCUAGAGCUAAUACAUGCUGAAAAUCCCGACUUCGGAAGGGAUGUGUUUAUUAGAUAAAAAACCAAUGCCCUUCGGGGCUUUUUGGUGAUUCAUGAUAACUUUACGGAUCGCAUAGCCUUGCGCUGGCGACGGUUCAUUCAAAUUUCUGCCCUAUCAACUUUCGAUGGUAAGGUAUUGGCUUACCAUGGUUUCAACGGGUAACGGGGAAUUAGGGUUCGAUUCCGGAGAGGGAGCCUGAGAAACGGCUACCACAUCCAAGGAAGGCAGCAGGCGCGCAAAUUACCCAAUCCCGACACGGGGAGGUAGUGACAAUAAAUACUGAUACAGGGCUCUUUUGGGUCUUGUAAUUGGAAUGAGUACAAUUUAAACCUCUUAACGAGGAACAAUUGGAGGGCAAGUCUGGUGCCAGCAGCCGCGGUAAUUCCAGCUCCAAUAGCGUAUAUUAAAGUUGUUGCAGUUAAAAAGCUCGUAGUUGAAACUUGGGCCUGGCUGGCGGGUCCGCCUCACCGCGUGCACUCGUCCGGCCGGGCCUUCCUUCUGAAGAACCUCAUGCCCUUCACUGGGCGUGCUGGGGAAUCAGGACUUUUACUUUGAAAAAAUUAGAGUGUUCAAAGCAGGCCUUUGCUCGAAUACGUUAGCAUGGAAUAAUAAAAUAGGGCGUGCGUUUCUAUUUUGUUGGUUUCUAGAGACGCCGCAAUGAUUAACAGGAACAGUCGGGGGCAUCAGUAUUCAGUUGUCAGAGGUGAAAUUCUUGGAUUUACUGAAGACUAACUACUGCGAAAGCAUUUGCCAAGGAUGUUUUCAUUAAUCAGUGAACGAAAGUUAGGGGAUCGAAGACGAUCAGAUACCGUCGUAGUCUUAACCGUAAACUAUGCCGACUAGGGAUCGGGCGAUGUUCUUUUUCUGACUCGCUCGGCACCUUACGAGAAAUCAAAGUUU
rnacentral:rRNA from 1 species